UACGGGGGGAGGCAAGCGUUGUUCGGAUUUACUGGGCGUAAAGGGCGCGUAGGCGGUCGUGACAAGUCACUUGUGAAAUCUCCGGGCUUAACUCGGAACGGUCAAGUGAUACUGUCGGACUAGAGUACAGAAGGGGGCAACUGGAAUUCUCGGUGUAGCGGUGAAAUGCGUAGAUAUCGAGAGGAACACCUGGCGGCGAAGGCGGGUUGCUGGGCUGAUACUGAC
rnacentral:rRNA from 1 species